AUAAACACAUCACAGUAUCACAGGGGCAGCUGCUACUCAAAGUCCUCUCUGUGAUUAAUCUCAUUUUCAAUAUUAGUCCAACAGCAGUGAUUAAAGAGAGCUGAGCCUCUGCAUUGAAUGGGCUUCUUGAUAGUCAUGAUGAUGAUGAUGAUGAUGAUGAACGAGCCACAUUGCUGAGUCCUUUGUGCUUCACAUUAUAAAUUAAGAGAAACUUCACAGUCUUCUUACUACUUACAUGUUGUCUUCCAGUGCAGAAAGAAAAUCUUCCAUCAGCUGCAGUGUUAACUAACACCCAAAAUCACCAUGCUACUUGAAAUGAAGCAUCUGAGCCUGACAGCCGGAGACAGGCUGAAAGUGAAGGGGAUCAUUCAGCAUGAUGCCGAGAGAUUCAAGAUCGAGCUGGGCUGUGGUACGGACGACAUCGCGCUGCACUUUAAUCCCCGUUUUGAUGACGAUGCUGAUGGUUCCGUUAUUGUUUGCAACUCAAAGACUGGUGGGUCUUGGGGCGAUGAGGUCCGGGACACACACAACCCUCUACACCGGGAAGAGUGAUCAAGCUGGAGUUGACGCUGGCUGGAGACGUGUUUGAGGUGGAGCUUCCUGACGGACAGCAGCUGCAGUUUCCAAACCGUGAGAACGUGGACGUCAUCAACUACGUCCGAAU